GCUGACACGUCCCGGCCAAUCUCCAGCAGACCCUCCCUCCCAGACCCCCCUACUUCCUGGACAGCAUCCAUGUUGAAACUGGACAGAAUCUGUGUUGAUGCUGUCCAGGAAGUAGGAGGGACUGGGAGGGAGGGUCUGCUGGAGAUUGGCCGGGACGUGUCAG
rnacentral:miRNA from 1 species